rnacentral:rRNA from 1 species
UGGGGAAUAUUGGACAAUGGGGGGAACCCUGAUCCAGCCAUGCCGCGUGUGUGAAGAAGGCCUUAUGGUUGUAAAGCACUUUAAGCGAGGAGGAGGGUACUGGUAUUAAUACUACCAGCUACUGGACGUUACCGACAGAAUAAGCACCGGCUAACUCUGUGCCAGCAGCCGCGGUAAUACAGAGGGUGCAAGCGUUAAUCGGAAUUACUGGGCGUAAAGCGCGCGUAGGUGGUUCGUUAAGUUGAAUGUGAAAGCCCCGGGCUCAACCUGGGAACUGCAUCCAAAACUGGCGAGCUAGAGUAGGGCAGAGGGUGGUGGAAUUUCCUGUGUAGCGGAGAAAUGCGUAGAUAUAGGAAGGAACACCAGUGGCGAAGGCGACCACCUGGGCUCAUACUGACACUGAGGUGCGAAAGCGUGGGGAGCAAACAGG